GGAGGUUUAGGUUGAAUGUCAGGAAAAGUUUCUUCACCCAGAGGGUGGCUGGGCACUGGAACAGGCUCCCCAGGGAAGUGGUCAUAGCACCAAGCCUGACAGAAUUAAAGAGUUUGGACAGUGCUCUCAGGCACCUGGUGUGACUCUUGUGUUCUGUGUAGGGCCAGGAGUUAGACUUGAUGUUCCUUGUAGGUCCCUUCCACCUCAGGACAUUUUUUGAUUCCAUGACUCUGCCUGAGCUCUGCUCUGUAAGGUUAGUUGGAAUUCACACACUAAACAGAGUUUGUUUUGAAGGCUCUGCUCCUGUAGUCAAUCUUGUUGUGACAACACCUAGAAUCAAGUCCUUGAGAAGUACAAGAAAAGGAGGCUGUUUGCUGGCAUAGACCUCUGCUCUAAGGACACUUGACCAAGGAACAAGAAAAAUCUAUUCAGAAAUCCAUCACCAUGGCACUGGAGGAGUCAAACUCCUACUUCUCAUCUAGUCUUGUGGAAGGCACUCUUAAGGUGCUACUGCUGUACAUGUAGCUGUGCAGGAGGAAAAUAGUAAAAUCCCUAACAGCAGAGUGUGUGAGUUAUUCUGAAGGUGUUUACACUUAUUGCCUUGCUGCUCACACAAAAUGGAGUUCUCAGCAGCAACAAAUAAAACAAAUGCCACUUUUUAUUGUAUUGCUGAGGCACAUCCUAUUUCAGCAAAAGGUAGAAUAUUCACAGCUAAACAAUGAUGCAAUUUGAAGAUUCUGGCUCUAAUCAGAUGAAUUGCUAAAAUCCAGGCAGAUUUUGCAAUGAAAGAUGUGACUAAUUUGAUGUGGAAUAGUAGUACCACUGUUUUGA